rnacentral:rRNA from 1 species
AGGGUUUGAUUAUGGCUCAGGAUGAACGCUGGCGGCGCGCCUAACACAUGCAAGUCGAACGGCACCUGCCUUCGGGCAGAAGCGAGUGGCGAACGGCUGAGUAACACGUGGAGAACCUGCCCCCUCCCCCGGGAUAGCCGCCCGAAAGGACGGGUAAUACCGGAUACCCCGGGGUGCCGCAUGGCACCCCGGCUAAAGCCCCGACGGGAGGGGAUGGCUCCGCGGCCCAUCAGGUAGACGGCGGGGUGACGGCCCACCGUGCCGACAACGGGUAGCCGGGUUGAGAGACCGACCGGCCAGAUUGGGACUGAGACACGGCCCAG